AGAAAAGAAAAGCAAAUGAGAGAAGGGGAAACACGGCACCGAUGGGAAGAGCUCGGCGCUAAAUGACCAGCGCCCAGUCGCAGCUCGCGCUUCUCUUCCCCCAUUUUCUCUCUCUACCUUCUUGGAUGCUCUCCGUAGGGUUAUAUCCACCGGCUCCCACCCUUCUCCAAGAACUAGCUAUCCAUUCUCUUCUUUUAGGGUUUCUUGGAGAGAUUCUUUGCUGCGUCGUCUCGCCCUAGGCGGAGCCUCCCUUCUCAAAUCUUUGCGCUCUCCGGUUUCGCGACAGACAGUUCGGCUGGAUUCCAAUUUUUCUUUCCGCCGUCCGUGAUUGAUCCAUGUGGGAGCACAUAGAUUGAGACCGCACCGGAGAGGUGGACAAUCUGCUAUCUUUUCGGCUUGGUACGGCGCUGGCGUGCGUGAUUAAGAGCGAUGGACUUGGUGGCCAGUUGCAGGGAUAAAUUGGCAUACUUCAGGAUAAAAGAGCUUAAAGAUGUCCUGACUCAACUUGGUCUGGCAAAACAAGGGAAGAAGCAGGAACUUGCGGACAGGAUUUUAGCAUUACUUUCAGAUGAACCAGUUUCAAAGUCACAUGGUUGGGCAACGAAGAUUUCUGUUGGAAAAGAACAAGUUGCAAAAAUUAUUGAUGACACUUACAGAAAAAUGCGUGCUCCUGGGGCUGCUGAUUUAGCACCGAGAAACCAGAGUGGCUCAGCAAAUAAUGUGAAACCUAAGAAGGAAGUAAAUGAUUAUUCCAAGUUGGAGAUGAAGGUUCAUUGCCCUUGUGGUAGCUCCUUGUUCAUGGAGUCAAUGAUUAAGUGUGAAGAAUCUCGAUGCCAAGUCUGGCAACAUCUCAAUUGUGUCAUUAUACCUGAAAAUCCUAUGGAGGGUGCUCUGCCUGAAAUUCCACCCCAUUUUUAUUGCGAAAUAUGCCGAAUCAACAAAGCAGACCCAUUUUGGUGGACAAUUGCGCAUCCGUUGCAUCCUGUGAAGUUGGCUCCUUCUGGUGUUGCCGAUGAUGGAACAAAUGCAGCGCAGAGCGAUGACAUGACAUUUGUACUGUCAAGAGCUGACAGGGAAAUGUUGCAGAGAACUGAAUUUGAUCUUCAGAUCUGGUGUAUUCUUCUAAAUGAUAAAGUUCCUUUCAGGAUGCAGUGGCCGCUAUAUGCAGAUUUGCACGUUAAUGGUAUUCAAGUGCGAACAACUAAUAGGGCGGGCUCACAACAGUUAGGAAUUAAUGGGCGGGAUGAUGGUCCAGUUAUCACCACACUCUGCAGGGAAGGAACAAACAAAAUUUGUUUAUCAAGAUGUGAUGCUCGCAUAUUCUGUUUAGGCGUUAGAAUUGCCAGACGACAGAUGAUUGAACAGGUUCUUAAGCUGGUGCCAAAGGAAGAAGAUGGUGAACAAUUUGGGGAUGCACUUGCCCGUGUUUGCCGUUGCGUUGGUGGUGGAACUGUGACAGACAAUGCAGAUAGUGACAGUGAUAUUGAAGUGGUGGCAGAUUCUGUCACUGUUAAUCUCCGUUGCCCUAUGACUGGGUCUAGAAUGAAGAUUGCUGGUAGAUUCAGACCUUGUGCUCACAUGGGAUGUUUUGAUCUAGAAAGUUUUGUGGAGCUUAAUCAACGUUCUCGGAAGUGGCAAUGUCCAAUUUGCCUCAGGAAUUCUUCUCUGGAAAACAUCAUAAUUGAUCCGUAUUUCAACCGCAUCACUUCUUUGAUGCGAAAUUGUGGAGAAGAUGUAAAUGAAAUUGAUGUGAAACCUGAUGGUUCUUGGCGUGUCAAAAAUGUAGGUGAACAUCAGGAUCUUGGAAAGUGGCAUUUACCUGAUGGUAGUCUUUAUGUGGCAAACAAUAUGGAAGUUAAGCCUGACGUGGAUAUCAUGAAGCAGAUUAAACUGGAAGGUUUUUCUGAAGGGCAUAAUAGUCUAAAAUUAGGAAUCAAGAAAAAUCGCAAUGGAAUAUGGGAGGUUAGUAAGCCUGAAGAUUUCGGGCAUCCAUCUUCUGAAAAACAUAUGCUGGAAAAUUUUCAAAACCAUUGCCAAGAUGGCAUCCCCAUGAGCAGCAGUCCAACCGAAAGUUACCAAGAUGGGGAAGAUCCAAGUGUUAAUCCAGAGGGUGGGGGGCGUUUUGAUUUCUCUGUGAAUAAUGAUCAUGAAGUUGAUUCUCUUUCUCUGGACAUUGACCCAACUUUCAAUAUUGAGGAUAAAAUUCUUCCAGCACCAACGAAAGAUGCAAACAUUAUUGUUCUCAGUGAUUCUGAUGAAGAUAAUGUUACUUUGAUCUCUCCUAGAACUGCCUAUGAAGCAGGUCCAGCUGAUGAUACUAGGAUAUCUUUUCCUGCGAGCCAUCCUGGAGCUCCAGGACCAGACUCUGAAGAACUGGGUCUCAGGACCAGCGGUGCUUCAUGCCUUGGUUUUUUUAACAAUGAUAAUGAUGAUUUUGGAUUGCCAUUCUGGCCAAUGCAGUCAUGUCCACAGGCUGGUCCUGGCUUCCAACUAUUUGGUACUGAUUCCAAUGUCUCAGAUGCUUUAGUUGAUGUGCAACAACAUUCUCGUGGUUGCUCACCGCUUAAUGAGUAUGAUUUGGUAUCAGGUGGUGGUUUAGGGGAAAUUUCACAAGCCCAUGUCCUUUCAACCAGUCAUUCUUAUGCUGAAGUAAAUGGGAGCCUGGUUGAUAAUCCUCUAGCAGUUGGUGACAAUGAUCCCUCUCUGCAAAUUUAUCUUCCAAGCCAGCCAACUGUUGUUGCAGAACAUGCAGAGACAGGCAAUCAUGGAAGGAUGGUUAAUGGUGUCCAUUCUGAUGAUUGGAUAUCUCUUACACUUGGUGAUGCUAACGGAGGUAAUGUGGACCCUCCUUCAACAAACAAGUUUUGCUCGACACAGCAGAAGAGUGGGAUAGACUCAUUAGCCAAUGCUGCUUCAAUGCUUCAAGGCAUGGAUGAUGGCAGAGUCAACAAAGUCUCAAGUAGACAAAGGUCUAAUGGUCCUUUCUCACCUCCUCGCCAACCGCGUUCAGUUCGUCCAAGGCUGUAUCCAUCAAUAGAUGCCGCCUCAGACUAGCUGUUGGACUCUGAUUUUGGGGUCGUGGCUCUUUUACGGACAAAAGAGAACUUCACCCACCUUGACAUGCUGCUUGCAAUGAGUCUGGUGAUUGCUUCUUAACCCAUUCUUGUGUAAUUAAGAGGCAGAAAAGUGGCUACAUCUUAUCACCAGAGGAGUGGGUUAAUUUGACGUGUACUUCAAGAUUGCAUUGGACAUACUAGAAAUGCAUGUCUGAUGGCCUCAGCAUGCUCCUCUGCAUCAGUAUGCAGAAUAGAAGCUAAAGGUGACUACAAGUGGAGCCCUUGCUGAGGCAUCAGCAUUAUCAGUGGGAAGGCCUGUCAUAUCUCUAUUUGAAUUCAGUCCCUGUAAAUUCGUAUGUAUAAGAGUUCCAUUAGUAAUUGAAGAAAGUAUGGCCUCCAUUUAAUAGCUAAACAGCUAAUGAUCAGAUGAAGGCAGCAUUAACCAUUUUACCAUGAUCGGUAUGUGACAUGCACGAGUCGGUGAACACAUCCAAGUAGUACACCGGAGCAUGUCAUGCCCGUGUAAUUUAAGUGGUCUGUUACAGUUCUAUCUUUGACGUAGCAAAUCAAUUGUGUCAUGCUGAUUUUUUGGCCUAAUGUCUUGCUGAUUAGAGAUUCUGCUGCUGCAUGUCAAGACAGCAUGUGGACAUGCUGGUUUU